GUUGUUUUUUCGGGGGGUAGCCAGCCUCCAGUUCGAGGCAACAAGAACCAGUCAGUGGCAUUUCCGAGCGAUCCGCUGUAAAGGCCCGCAGGCAGGCGGGCAGGCACACAGAUAAAACAGAGAGAGAAAGAGAGAGAGAGAAGGGACUCUCACGUCAGAUGAGUAAUAGAGCGGUGUAUUACCACGGCACAAAAUGCGAGAGACGUGAUAAAUCGAUCCUCCUCCUUUCCUCCCGCAUAUAUCUGCGGUUGUCUCCGCUUGUUCCACCAGCACUUUUUCUUUCUUUUCUUUCUUUUUAUUGCGCUCAGCCCUCGGUGAUGUGUUGUUUCAGCUUCUGCUUCUCGCGUGCUCUCGUACGCGCAACGGAUAGAUCUCGGAGCGCUGCGCUCGAGGAAGGUGUCUGCAAACUGGGCUCUUUUUUUUUUUCUUUUCUUCUUUUUUAGCUUCAGCUGAUCUGCAACACAGACGAAUACACACAGCUCGAGCUCUUCACGAUGCACAUCUGUGAAAAGGCGGCAAAGACCUGCAAUCCAUGGCUCCUGUCCUGCUGGAGAGCCAACUGAUGCUGUCGCAGCUCACAGGAAGCUGGGAUCCCACUCACGUCAUCACUGAGGUUUGCUGAUUUUGCAUGGAUUGUCCCAGAUAAAUGACCGCGAGCCAUUCCCACAAGAGAUGGGGUCCAGAGUCUCCCCACCCAGACACGACUAAACCGGCCAGCCUUCGCAGUUCACGCCUCUCUAGCUGCUGUCAGUUGCUCAGUAGGCAGUGUAGAUCCUGU